UAACAGACAUUUCCUUUGUUUCUCCGCAGCCUCCUCCCUGUGAAGCAGGGCAUCAUGCUGGGCCAAUACCUGGGAGCCUUCAGCCUCAUGGACCACUUCACGGGACGCGCCAUCAAAAAGCAGGAGUGACCGAGGGGAGAGGACGAUAUGAAGCUAAGAGACAUGGAAACAUUACAGGCAUCAAAGCCAAUUUAAUCUUAAUGGUCCCAGUGUAUGAAGUAAUAGAGGUGAGGGCAGAACAUAAUGCUGAUCCUCUCAUUUCAAUUAAACAGUAUAUCUCACUGUAUAAUCCAGCUUGUAAGCUCUCAUAUCCUUAACGUACUUUUUUUAAUGUAUAUAUAAUUGGUGAAAUUCAAAUGUAAUCUUAUGAACAGUUUGUAUUUGAUUAGUGCUCAGAAGUUUCAGGCAGCCAGUGUCCUUAUACAACUCCUAGACAUGUUAACAGCAAGUCAUAAAGACAGGAAACAUGGGUCCAAAGUCAAGUGUGAUGUUUUCUAAAAUCCCCUUACCUGCUGUGUACGUAGUGCUACAGCUCAGGUGGAAACAACACAGAUGUUUCUUCUUCUGCUGUCAGAGAAGCAAGUCAGUGUACUAAUGACUAUAAAGUACACUGCUCUAAUAAUUGUAGACAGGGCUCAUUAUCUCUUACAAUUCGAAGAAAUACAAAAAUCCAGCAUUAAUAAAAUGCAACCUCUAUCACUAGUAUGUGCUGAGAACAAGUGAGAUGUAAAGUUUAAGUGUACAAAUAUCAAUAUACACUUAUUACGCAGACAUUUAAUCUGGUAUCAUGCCAUAUGAGCGCAUUUGUGAACGUUUAGAGUUUAAAUGUUCAUCUGGCUCAGUGUUUGCAGUCUAAAUCCUUUCACCUUAAAAAGCAAUUGCUCUUACUCAGGAACAGCGGACCCUGCCUCAGGAUUUAAAUGUGAUACCCUUGAUAUAUCUUCACCUUGUAAAAAGGGGACACAUCUUCAACUCCUUUAUUCCCGUCCAUCUUUAAUCCUUUAUUCGCAAUUUGCUAGCAGCGCAUUAGCAUGCUACAGCUAGCCGCAGAGUGUGGAGCCCCCUCUGCUAUUCUUAUUCUUUCCAUUCAUUCAUGAAAGCCUGGUAAGCACAGAAUGUGAACACACUGUCAAACCACUAACCUUGCUAGUGCUUCAUAUACAUAUAUAACUAUAUAUGUAACAGUAUGGUGCGUGUGUGUAGUCAGGAAGUGUGUGUUGUCCUUAUUGCCACAUUAAUGAUCCUAUCAAUACAAGUAUAUUGUAACGAUUAUAAUACUUAUAUGUAUCAUGAAUCAACCGUUGUUUUAAUCAAACAAUGUGUCAUAUUUAAUAUGUAACAGUAGUUGAUGCUUUUAUAUUGAACAACCUGUGUAAAGUCAUCCUAGCUGUUGAUGACAUUGAAGUUAUUGAAAUGAAGAAUGCACCUGUUGCCUUCAUCAUGCUAACACUGAAGGACAUGAGAUGUCAAAGAGAUGCAUUAAAAAGAAGGUUUGAAGUCAGAACCAUCCCUCAGCUUGAAUGUUUUGUGAAUUAUUAUCAAUAAAUAACCAUUUGUACGUUG